UACAGAAGAAGCUAUUGCAAUAGCCCACGUGACAGACGGAUGAAGAAAGCACCACAGAAGCAGUUCAUGUCUCACUAAGGCUAGACACUGAUGGAUCUAACGUCUCUCUUUGGAAUUUAUUGGCAUUUAACACCUAUUAUCGUCAACUCUGGAGUCCUCAGCUAAACUCUAAGAGAACAGGCAAGGUAUGACAUUCCAGUUAGGCGUGUCAAUGUGAAAGCCACAUCGAUAAUCAUCUCCCAAAAUAUUUGUCUCAGGAGACCUGGGCAGACCCCUCAAAUUGUCACAAGCUUGAAGAGACACGAAAAAAGACACUGCUUCAAGAAACAUAUCAAGCACAUCCAAAGCUAUCUCUUGCUCUGGCUUUUGACUCAUGCUUUGUAUGACAUACUGUUUAUUUGGAGUUCGACUUAUGCAGAUCUUUUUAAACACACCUGUGACUCUAAUCCCAACAUCUGACACCUAGAAUGGUCCAACAUCUAUAGCCUGAGUGGCAGCCCAGCUCUAGGAAAGGACUGUCUCUACAUCUGCAUCACGUAUUUCACUAAUACUUUACCCCAACACAGUGUAAACAUGUAGAUAAUCUGCUUUAGUGAUGUAUAGACACUGAGCUUCUUUAUACUCCUUAGGCUAUAGGAAAAGUGCAUUUAUCACUUCUUUAGUCUACUCAUAGUUGUUGAGUGCCUACUAUGUGUCAUACAUUCAUGUGUCAAGAUACGAAGAUGGUCAUGAUGGAUAUGAUACCUGCUAUCCUGUAGCAAAUAUGAAACAAUAUCAAAACUACUCUGAUAGCCUUACAGGGUGCUGUUGGAGCCAAAUGGAAGCAUACACUCUACCUCAUAUAAGGGAAGACCUUCAUCCCUGAAGAUUUGAUGUUUAGGUUAUGGACUAAUGGGCUUACAAGACUUUAUUGAAAAAGGAGAGGAUGGUGGAAGAUGGAAUGUUUCUGAGAAAAGAAGCAGGAGUCAAGAGGUGAGAGGAAUUCAGUGGAGGAAUAAGAGUGUGGAGCAGAGUGAGGAAGUAGACAAACCCGAAUUGUGAAGGGCUUUGUCAGCAAUGUAAGGGUUUAGGCUAUUCUCAGGCAACUGGAAGCCAAUAUAUUUCAAACAGUAUAGUGACAUCAUGAUAUAUAUGUUUGAAAAAGGUCAGCCUGCCUGCAGUGGGAGGCUUUGUAGUAAUCCAAAUAGUACCCAAGAGCUUCAUCAGCUUUGACAUUGAUCGCUGUCCCUCUGACGGUUCUGAACAUAUAUGUAUUAUUCCAGAGUCAGCUGUUAAUCUGUACCCUUCACCCUGCUAAAGCAGAUUUGUAUGAAUGGCGAUUUCACUAGACGAGUGUCCCUGUCUCUACAGAAGUUUUGAUAAGAUGCUUAAGCAUUCACGCGAAUCACUUCUUUACAGUCUCCAUAAACCCUAGAUAGACUUUAUAACCCAGCCCCACAUGCCUCUCCCUCCCCUCAAUUAAACUUCCAAUUAUGGCUCAUUCUUAUUCCAACACCAAAAUCAAGCACUUUUUACUCUGCCAUUAUGCUGACUGAUAUGUAAAAAUUGUUAUUUGAGCACAGUUCUACCAUUACAGGUGCCACCUGCACACUUAGAGUCCUAAAACCUUACUGGGGGAUGCUUUUCCUGCUGUGCACACUGGCCAAUGAGUGCUUGUAUUUCAUGCUGUCUCUUAGCUAAGAUUUCACUCAGAAGGCUGCACUAUCACUGAAGGGUCUUGGAUGAAGAUGACUCUUAAAACAUUUUUAUUUUUAAAAUGUAUAUUUACCUCUGCAAAAUAUUUAAUUAAAAAUACCAUGUGUCAUCUCGACCUGAAUUGCCCCA
rnacentral:lncRNA from 10 species